rnacentral:rRNA from 1 species
GACGAACGCUGGCGGCGUGCUUAACACAUGCAAGUCGAACGGUAAGGCCCUUUCGGGGGUACACGAGUGGCGAACGGGUGAGUAACACGUGGGUGAUCUGCCCUGCACUUUGGGAUAAGCCUGGGAAACUGGGUCUAAUACCGGAUAGGACUACGCGAUGCAUGUCGUGUGGUGGAAAGCUUUUGCGGUGUGGGAUGGGCCCGCGGCCUAUCAGCUUGUUGGUGGGGUGAUGGCCUACCAAGGCGACGACGGGUAGCCGGCCUGCGAGGGUGUCCGGCCACACUGGGACUGAGAUACGGCCCAGACUCCUACGGGAGGCAGCAGUGGGGAAUAUUGCACAAUGGGCGCAAGCCUGAUGCAGCGACGCCGCGUGGGGGAUGACGGCCUUCGGGUUGUAAACCCCUUUCAGCACAGACGAAGCGUAAGUGACGGUAUGUGCAGAAGAAGCACCGGCCAACUACGUG